AGGACGAACGCUGGCGGCGUGCUUAACACAUGCAAGUCGAGCGGAAAGGCCCUUCGGGGUACUCGAGCGGCGAACGGGUGAGUAACACGUGAGUAAUCUGCCCCUAGCUCUGGGAUAGCUCCGGGAAACCGGGAUUAAUACCAGAUACGACCACUUUAGACAUCUGCUGUGGUGGAAAGAAUUUCGGCUAGGGAUGAGCUCGCGGCCUAUCAGCUUGUUGGUGAGGUAACGGCUCACCAAGGCGACGACGGGUAGCCGGCCUGAGAGGGCGACCGGCCACACUGGGACUGAGACACGGCCCAGACUCCUACGGGAGGCAGCAGUGGGGAAUAUUGCGCAAUGGGCGAAAGCCUGACGCAGCGACGCCGCGUGGGGGAUGAAGGCCUUCGGGUUGUAAACCCUUUCAGCAGGACGAAGCGAAGUGACGGUACCUGCAGAAGAGCGCCGGCUAACUACGUGCCAGCAGCCGC
rnacentral:rRNA from 1 species